rnacentral:rRNA from 1 species
GAUCAUGGCUCAGAUUGAACGCUGGCGGCAUGCCUUACACAUGCAAGUCGAACGGCAGCACGGGAGCUUGCUCCUGGUGGCGAGUGGCGAACGGGUGAGUAAUACAUCGGAACGUACCCUGAAGUGGGGGAUAACGUAGCGAUAGUUACGCUAAUACCGCAUAUUCUGUGAGCAGGAAAGAGGGGGAUCGCAAGACCUCUUGCUUUAGGAGCGGCCGAUGUCGGAUUAGCUAGUUGGUGAGGUAAAGGCUCACCAAGGCGACGAUCCGUAGCGGGUCUGAGAGGAUGAUCCGCCACACUGGGACUGAGACACGGCCCAGACUCCUACGGGAGGCAGCAGUGGGGAAUUUUGGACAAUGGGCGCAAGCCUGAUCCAGCCAUGCCGCGUGAGUGAAGAAGGCCUUCGGGUUGUAAAGCUCUUUCGGUGGGGAAGAAAUUGCUUCGGUUAAUACCUGGAGUAGAUGACGGUACCCGCAUAAGAAGCACCGGCUAACUACGUG